CGCAGGCAACGACCCGAAGGGCGAAGCGCGCAGCGCUGAGUAAUCCUUCCCCCACCACCA
rnacentral:sRNA from 6 species